GACGAACGCUGGCGGCGUGCCUAAUACAUGCAAGUAGAACGCUGAAGAAAGGAGCUUGCUUCUUUUGGAUGAGUUGCGAACGGGUGAGUAACGCGUAGGUAACCUGCCUUGUAGCGGGGGAUAACUAUUGGAAACGAUAGCUAAUACCGCAUAACAGCUUUUGACACAUGUUAGAAGCUUGAAAGAUGCAAUUGCAUCACUACGAGAUGGACCUGCGUUGUAUUAGCUAGUAGGUAGGGUAACGGCCUACCUAGGCGACGAUACAUAGCCGACCUGAGAGGGUGAUCGGCCACACUGGGACUGAGACACGGCCCAG
rnacentral:rRNA from 1 species